rnacentral:rRNA from 1 species
UGAGUACGCGCCGCGAUGCGUUGAGCUAACCGGUACUAAUGACCCGUGAGGCUUAACCUAACACCGCCGAAG